UACGUAGGGUGCGAGCGUUGUCCGGAAUUACUGGGCGUAAAGCGUGCGCAGGCGGUUGUGCAAGACAGAUGUGAAAUCCCCGGGCUCAACCUGGGAAUUGCAUUUGUGACUGCACGGCUAGAGUGUGUCAGAGGGGGGUAGAAUUCCACGUGUAGCAGUGAAAUGCGUAGAGAUGUGGAGGAAUACCGAUGGCGAAGGCAGCCCCCUGGGAUAACACUGACGCUCAUGCACGAAAGCGUGGGGAGCAAACAGG
rnacentral:rRNA from 1 species